CCUGGGUGGUGGCAGCAGAUUAGUGGUGUACGGGUCAAUAGUCCAUGAGACGACCGGGGCCUCCGUACAAACGCCACAAUGAGAAGCAAGAAACAGCAAGGUCUGUCCGGAACUGACUGAGGCUGGAAACCCUGCUGAAGAAAGCUGAAGCUAGCUGGUUCACAUCAGGAACAAGAAGGCUGACCAGCAGCUGGUGGAGUCACUUUGCCUUCUGCUCCUUCAGGCUGCUGCUCAGAGGUAAACCCAAUUCCUGGCCCAUGACAACAAAUGCUUGGCCACUGGGGGAACAGAAUGCUGACCUAGAUAGUCCCUUGAUCUGAUGCAGCAGGGCUCCUUGUAUAUAAAUGUAUUAGUCACUUAAUAUUUUGUUGGGCAUUGUUAUUUAUGUAGGUUAACUUUCAUUACCAUCAGCAAUUUUGCAACCGUAUGAGUCAAUUCCUUCCUUCCCAUACAUUUUCUGUGUAUACUGUCCUGCCGCAUCAUAGCUUUAGUGGGAAUGGUUUAUCAUCACAUGCUUACAAUUAGAAACUAUGAGAUUAUGUCACUUCUACUUUGUUCUGCCAUCAUCUCUUGCGGUUCUCAGGGAAAUUUCCGGUCUACAAAAUCUAAAUAAAACCCAAGCGUAGCAACAUUACUGCAAAGCACCAAAAAGCUCCUUGGCAGAUAAUAUAUCACUUUACUUGUUAUGACUCACAGGUUGCUGCAAGAUUACAAAUGUAGACUGUUUGUCUGUAAUUAUGCAGCUAGCUAUAUGCAAAACAACUGCAAAGCUGUGUUGGCAAAUGGAGGGGGAAAUGUGUUUUGGCCAGGUUUCACAAAAGCAACAAAAAAAACAAAAACCAAUAUUCAGGCGGCAGAGACUAGUUUAACUGGGAGGAUGCCAGUGGCUCCUAAUCAAAACAGAAAUGCUUUACUUAAGGCAAACAUACCAAAGUAUGUGGAAGUGAAGCCAUCACUUUGGCAUUUGGCUAAUGACAAAGAUGCUGUCUCGUUAUUAAAAUGGUAAAUAAUUGACUGUGUUGGGAAACAUUUACAAAUAAAUGUUUUCACACAGUUCUGACUAUAGCUGUAUAUCCUGUUCAGUGCAUCAAAGGCGGCUUAGAAGGUAGAUCCACCAGUUGUUUAUCCUAGUAUACCAGGGAAUUGCUGCUGCAGGGCAUCUCUGUAAAUUCCAUAGGCUUGCAAUAUAUGCCUGUGCACAGAGAUAGAAAAUUGGCACUGCUUCUGCAAAAGAUUGGUCUACUUGCCAUAGCUGUGUAAUAUGUCAGCAAGCAGUUCACACAGGGCAUUUUUCUUCCACGAGCUAUAAAAAUCAAAAGUGUAAGGGGAAUGAGCAACUAUGUGUUGGUUGCUCGCUUUUUACACUACUCACCUGGAUGGACUGCUCAUGUGAAGAACUAUCUAUCAAUGGAAACAACUGUGGUCAUUUUUUUAAUCACCAGAACUAAGAGAUUACCAAGGAUAACACUUCAGGCAUCUGAGGAAGUAGACUCUGCCCCCUGCCAACUCUUAUGCCAUCUUGGAACCAGUGUGGUGUGGUGUAGUGGUUGACCCUGGGAAAGAAGGGUUCAAAUCUCCCUUCGGACAUGAAGCUCACUUGGGCAACCUUGAGCCUCUCAGCUUCACCUACCUCGCAGGGUUGUUGUGGGAAUUCACUAAUUGUAUGACACUUUGAGCUCCUUGGAGAAAAAGGUGGAAUAGAAAUGUAUGAAAUGAAAUAAAUUAAUUCCAUAUAAAAUAAUAAAUUAUUAGUCUUUAAGUUACUGCAAAAGGACUUGCGUUUUUCCCAGAGAUAUAAUAUAUUACCCAGCAGUGCCUUCCUUAUACAGUCAUUUUCUCUCUCUUCCCCUCUUCAGGCAUUUUGCCGGUUAGUGUACAUGGCCAGUUCCAUAGCUCCUGUUGACUGGUCGCACUACGCUUCUGGUCAUUUCUACUUCUGUCAUUCACGAGGUCACCAGUAUCAAUGAAGAAGGCAAGUUUGGUCAGCACUUGAAUGGCACCCCCUAGUUCUUCAUUUUUCGUUAUGACUGCCAUCCAUUUCUUUGGGAGGAAGGAACUGAACGGUCGCUGCAAAUUGCUGUAAAUUCAGUUGGUGGAUCACUCCAAAUGAACAGCCAGGGCCUUUGACAAAUGAAAAAUAGUGAAUGUUCCUUUCUUGGAUGUUUGUAGUUUACCCCCAAGGGCAAUUCUGUUGCAGGGGGCUCAGAGGUGUGGUCUGUGUGGGCAGUGUUUGUAAGAAAGGAGUUUUGGACUUUGAACUGAAAAGGAGAGCUGAAAGUUAAACUGGAGUUAGCUAAACUGGGGUGCAACUCUGGAGCUGCCAGCUAAACCUAUCUAUGAGAAUCUGGCCCAGGAUUAGCUGGUGUGCUGUCUGCUUCUGAAAGUGUAGUUGUCCCCACUAUGCUCUACUUUGAAAUUUGUAAACAAAGCCCUAGAACUUCUCAUGACUCAAAAGUAGAGAGCUCUUAAUGUUAUACAGUGACAGUUGUUUGAUGUUUUAUUGGACUCUGCCAUGUGCUUAAAUAGCUAACAUGUUUUGCUUCAAGGAAAAGAAGAAAAUGUAUGUGUUUCUCAGCCACCUAUGCUACCAAGUCCACUGACUAAUUAAUGAGAAUUGACAAUCUGAUCAUGUCCCAUUUGUUUUAUUAACUUUUAGCAUUUCUCAUUUCUCCUGGAAAUUGUUUCAAGGCAGAGUUUUAUUUGAAAGGAUUAAUCUCUCUCAAGUGCAUUCCAUGAGAUGGAGAAGUCUCCUUUCUGAGCAACUUUCUGAAGAUAGAAUCUAUUGAUGCUCACAGUGCUCCAGCGACUUCAUGGAGACCACAUUUCUCUCAGCUUGCCAUUUAAGAAUAAAUUGUUUCUAGAGCUGGACGUCUGAUUAUGUAAAUAAAUCAUUAACACUGAGGAAG